rnacentral:misc_RNA from 1 species
CCUGUUCAUGCUUUUUG